rnacentral:tRNA from 1 species
UGGAUUGUGGCUCAGUGGUAGAUUGCUUGCCUAGCAUGAGUGAGGCACUGGGUUCAAUUCCCAGCACUACAU